UGCACUCACUACUGUAAGUCGCUUUGGAUAUGAGCGUCUGCUAAAUGACUAAAA
rfam:Salmo salar isolate Sally breed double haploid chromosome ssa09, whole genome shotgun sequence.